rnacentral:siRNA from 1 species
GCGGCAACAUCCGUGGGGAUC